AACGAGCGCUGGCGGCAGGCUUAACACAUGCAAGUCGAACGCCCCGCAAGGGGAGUGGCAGACGGGUGAGUAACGCGUGGGAAUCUACCUAGUUCUACGGAACAACAGUUGGAAACGACUGCUAAUACCGUAUACGCCCUACGGGGGAAAGAUUAUCGGAAUUAGAUGAGCCCGCGUAAGAUUAGCUAGUUGGUGGGGUAAUGGCCUACCAAGGCGACGAUCUUUAGCUGGUCUGGGAGGAUGAUCAGCCACACUGGGACUGAGACACGGCCCAGACUCCUACGGGGGGCAGCAGUGGGGGAUAUUGGACAAUGGGCGCAAGCCUGAUCCAGCCAUGCCGCGUGAGUGAUGAAGGCCUUAGGGUUGUAAAGCUCUUUCACCGAUGAAGAUAAUGACGGUAGUCGGAGAAGAAGCCCCGGCUAACUUCGUGCCAGCCGCCGCAGUAAAAC
rnacentral:rRNA from 1 species